rnacentral:lncRNA from 1 species
NACAAUAGCUUUAACAUACAGAUCCUGCCAAUACUUUGUUAGCCCCUGCACGAUAUGAAAAAAACUAAUGAUUUCACGACUACACAGUACCAAUCCCAAACAAAUGAAAAAUCAGAAAAAAUUGAACCUUCUGACAAUUUUUUGACUUCUUAGAACUAAUUUCAAAAUGUCUCUUUUGACGAAGUUUUUUUGGAGCUGCUUUGUUUUUUAAGAUUUUCGGGUCGAGGAUGAUUCCACUAGCAUGCUGGGCUGCUCCAUCGAAGCUUACA